rnacentral:rRNA from 1 species
GAUGAACGCUGGCGGCGUGCCUAAUACAUGCAAGUCGAGCGAACAGACGAGGAGCUUGCUCCUCUGACGUUAGCGGCGGACGGGUGAGUAACACGUGGAUAACCUACCUAUAAGACUGGGAUAACUUCGGGAAACCGGAGCUAAUACCGGAUAAUAUAUUGAACCGCAUGGUUCAAUAGUGAAAGACGGUUUUGCUGUCACUUAUAGAUGGAUCCGCGCCGCAUUAGCUAGUUGGUAAGGUAACGGCUUACCAAGGCAACGAUGCGUAGCCGACCUGAGAGGUUAAACGACCACCCUGGAACUGAGCCACGGUCCAGACUCCUACGGGAGGCAGCAGUAGGUAAUCUUCCGCAAUGGGCGAAAUCCUGACGGAGCAACGCCGCGUGAUUGAUGAAGGGCUUCGGAUCUUAAAACUCUGUUAUUAGGGAAGAACGAAUGUGUAAGUAACUAUGCACGUCUUGACGGUACCUAAUCAGAAAGCCACGGCUAACUACGUG